rnacentral:rRNA from 1 species
UGGGGAAUUUUGGACAAUGGGCGAACAGUGAUCCAGCAAUGCCGCGUGCAGGAUGAAGGCCUUAGGGUUGUAAACUGCUUUUGUACGGAACGAAAAGGUCUGCCUUAAUACGGUGGGCCCAUGACGGUACCGUAAGAAUAAGCACCGGCUAACUACGUG